rnacentral:rRNA from 1 species
GGGCUCACACAAGCGGUGGAGCAUGUUGCUUAAUUCGAAGCAACGCGAAGAACCUUACCUGGGUUUGACAUGCUUGGAUUAACUCCUGGAAACAGGAGCCACGCUCGCAAGAGUGGAACAAGCACAGGUGCUGCAUGGCUGUCGUCAGCUCGUGCUGUGAAGUGUCGGGUUAAGUCCCUUAACGAGCGCAACCCUUGUCGUUAGUUGCUAACAGGUAAUGCUGAGGACUCUAACGAGACUGCCGGUGUCAAACCGGAGGAAGGCGGGGAUGACGUCAAGUCCUCAUGGCCCUUACAUCCAGGGUUGCAAACGUGCUACAAUGGUGCGUACAGAGCGACGCAAGGCCGCAAGGCGGAGCAAAUCGCAAAAAACGCACCCCAGUUCGGAUUGCAGGCUGCAACUCGCCUGCAUGAAGCCGGAAUCGCUAGUAAUCGAGGAUCAGCUACGCCUCGGUGAAUAAGUUCCUGAGCCUU